ACAGAAUGACUCCUGGUUUAUAUCAGUUGAAGCAGAAAAAAAGAAUGAGGCUUUAACUGAGGAAUAAUCUAUGUUCUGUUUUUCCCACCAUGUAAAAUUCUCACUGACAAGAAAAAGCAUCUUCAGUGAAACAGGAGGUGUUCAGCUGUUGAAGAAGGUGCUGGCUCUCUCAGGGAACAGUGUGCCAUUGGGUUUUUAAUUAGCAGACGAGGUUAGUUGUUCUGUGUUUUGACACCCUGAGUAAUCACAAAAAGAGACCUGCUCCUUUGUAGCUGUAUCAAUUCCAAAUGAGAGGAAGAGGUGUGUUUCAGUGAGAUAACAGAACACCUGGCUGACACAGGAAGAUCUUCCUCUAAUCAAGGGUGGCUUCCAGAAUCCUAUGUCCAAGCCUUAAAAGAUGUUAAUGCAAUUAAGGUUUACUUAUACUG